rnacentral:lncRNA from 1 species
GACUGAAGACAUGGGGAAGACAAGAAAUAAAUAACCAAAGUGAGAUUCUUGAAAAGGAAGCAAAGACAGAAAUCAGAAGCUGGUUAGAAGAAAUCAACCUGAGAAGCAAGAGAAGAACACUAUACAUUGUACUAAAGAAUAGAGGAAUGAAUGUGUUGGUAUGAAGCACUACUGACCCACCUGACUGCAGUCUGUAUGGACUGGACCUGAUAUCACUGAGGCCUGUCAGUGAUCAAGGGUAGAGAAUCCCCAGCAAGAUGGUAG